rnacentral:tRNA from 1 species
GGGGGUGUAGUUCAAUGGUAGAGUGUGUACUUAGCAUGUACAAGGACCUAGGUUCAAUCCCUACCACCCA